rnacentral:rRNA from 1 species
GAUGAACGCUAGCGACAGGCUUAACACAUGCAAGUCGAGGGGCAGCGAGGGAGUGCUUGCACUUCUGUCGGCGACCGGCGCACGGGUGAGUAACACGUAUGCAACCUGCCCUUGUCAGGGGGAUAAGCGAGGGAAACCUCGUCUAAUACCGCAUAUAUGGUUUUGAGGCAUCUCUUAAUCAGGAAAGAAUUAUCGGACAAGGAUGGGCAUGCGGGACAUUAGGUAGUUGGGGGUGUAACGGACCACCAAGCCGACGAUGUCUAGGGGUUCUGAGAGGAAGGUCCCCCACACUGGUACUGAGACACGGACCAGACUCCUACGGGAGGCAGCAGUGAGGAAUAUUGGUCAAUGGGCGAGAGCCUGAACCAGCCAAGUCGCGUGAGGGAAGACGGUACUAAGUAUUGUAAACCUCUUUUGUCAGGGAACAAAGAGAUCACGUGUGGUAAGAUGAGUGUACCUGAAGAAAAAGCAUCGGCUAACUCCGUGCCAGCA